GCCGUGCCGCCCGGGUAAUGGAGGAAAUGAGUGUGCCAACUAGAGAAAAAUCAACCGAGAGCGUGGCUGAAGGGAACCGAAGAGAUUGUCGAACGGAAGGGCCAUAGAAGUUCCGUAGUGUGAAGAGAAAACGUCUGAGGUGAAGUCCUGCUGUGGAGUCGGUGUGUUCAUAGGUUUGUGGUUUUCUGGAGUUCUGACUGUCGCUGCAGCUCUGGCUGCAUCUGUAGCUGCAAAGUGCAUCAGAAAACACAAGAAAGCUUCUCAGAGAAACCAGAGAGACGAUCCUUCUAAGGAAGCUUGUAACGGUGACACUGAGCUCACAAACUGUUUAACAUCGUGUGUGUGUGUCACUCAAAACCUUAGGGACUCGAACCACAAACAGUAACUCUGAGAAAUCAGAGAUAGUUUUUACUUUUGUCUUCCUGUUGCGUCGGCUUGUUGGAGGAACGUCUGUCUGUAUUGGAGGUGUUCACGUCUGUUUUUAAAAUCUCUCAGGAUGAAAAACUGUUUUUAUUCAGAGUCAUCAGCAGCUGUUCUUUUCACAGUGAUGAAGUUUGUGCUGUUAAAACUCAAAAUGAUGGAUUUAAGAACCGAGCUGCUGUCAAAAUGUUAUUUUCAUUGUCUAUUUUAUGUUUAUAAAGCAGUUUGUGAUGUUGAUUUUUAAUGAGCGUGAUACAAAUAUUAUCUUAUUAUUUUUGGUUUUGAUUCAUGUUGAUUACAUCAAGCUUCAUAAUCAUAAUUUUCUUUUUGUUUUUUUGGACUGACAUAAAAGCACCAAAGCUCAUAGCACUUUGAACAAGUAUGAUUAUGUGUGGAAAAUACAUAUUUACAUGAAUGCUCCUGAAUAGAAAAUUAGAAGAGAAUGUUUCAGUCUUCAUAAUCAGGACGGACGUAUUUAUGACGAGUAAAUCGGAAGAAGAUUUGGCUGAUCCUGUAAAAACUUCUGACCCUUUAAA